GACUGUUUUAUAAAUAACAAGAUGUUUAAAAAUAAAGUGUCAGAUUUGCUGCUGCUGCUGCAUGUCAUCAAGGAUUAAUUUACACAUUUUUGAAGCUGCUGGGUAGAAUUGUGCCAAUAUUUUCAAGUCUGAAUGAUUAAAUCUUAUUUUCACAAUUGCUGAAUAGCUCCACUUCCUUUCACCUCACUGGAAGUUGAGUGUUCAGAACUUCUGAAAGUCAGUUGCUUAAAUUAUGGAGCUCACACCCCAACUUAAGGUACUGAAGCUAUUUUGGCCUUAGCUCUACAGUACUGUUUACUUGUUUAUAUGAUAAAUCCUGUCUCAUAUUGGCAAAAAAUCCAUGCGAUGACAUUUCUAUUUAUCUCUUUCAAAAUCAAUACCAUUGGUCAGGAAGAGUGUUUAUCAAUCAGAUUUCAUUUAUAGGUAAGUGCCUGCUGACUGGUUGCAGCGAGUUCUUUCUCCGAAAGAGACAAUAGCCUUUUUUGGACCUCCAGCUUCAUUUUCCCAUUUGAAUUUCUGUUUUACACUUUUCCCAUCCUGUCUGUGGUGACAAUUUCCAGACAUUCUAGAUCAAGACAUUUGGAAUAUAGCAUGCUGAACCCACAAAGGAUUUCCGGAUUGUUACCAAAGCCAUAUAGAAUUUCACGAAGGCAGCAAGACUAGAAUUCACCUCCUGCUCUGAAAAUACAGAUUCCUACCACUUGAGUGAAGGACAGUUACAAUUAGCUGUAACUUUAUAAGACUCAAGAUGUUGACUUCUGGGAUCCCAGCUUCCUAAGACACAAGACAAACCAAAGUGAAUUCUGUGCAGUAUGAAAUGCAAAUAGCAAUCAAUAACAGGAAUCUUCUCUGCACUCAUUUGGACUCUCCUGGUCAGGUGCUGCUGCAGCUCCAUGUUUCUUCUCCCAAUAGACACAGUGUAUUAACACAGCUCACUGUGCCUAAGAAGAUAAAAUAAAGAUGUAUGUACUCACUG